GUCACAAGCCUAGCCCACACUCGGCCGAUCUGCAUCGUCUUCAUCUCCCCCUCCCCGUCCUCCUCGCCGGCCGGACCACUCGCCGGCGCAGCCUCUCCCGCACCCCGCCGCCCGCGGCUGCUCCACGUACGUGCGCGGCGGCGGAGGCGUCAGCAGCCUCCCUUCCAUGCUCAGCAUCUGAAGAAAGUCCGUCUUCGGUGCCGCGAUAUCCAAGUGUUAGAUUUCAACACGGCAACCCAGAGUACCGAGGAGCUUCACCAAGCUAUGGAGCGGGCGUUUUGGCUCCUCUCCUUCCGGCGGUUCAUCAGGCGAAGUGCAUAGGAAGGCCAAAUUUGUUGUUGCUGCAUGCUUCUGUGCUGAAGUGGACACGAAGCUAUGGAGCGGAAGCUGAUGUGCUGAAGCAUUCUCUCGUCGUCUUGUUGACUGCACUGGCAGACGGCCUGCAAGCUCGCUGCAUCCCGGACGCGAAGGCCCAAGAUGUUGCUGUUGUGCUCUUCCACGACGCGGGCGAGGAGGAGGUACCCCGGCAUCAUCCACCGCAGGCUCCCGUACUGCAUGAUGGAGCAAUUGGGCACUGACAUCUCUAUUUGUCGAGGCAUAUAGUGCAAUCUUAUAUUACCCUAAAGCUUCCAUGUAUCUGCCGUUCGUCGGAGGGAGGAUUCAUGGCAUAUGUUAUCGUCCUGGUUAAUGUGGUCAUCUGUUAUCCAA